CGUGACCUGGUGAUCCAGCCAAGUUUCCACAUUUUAACCACAUUGUUUAUAUGCCACUGGUUUGAAGAUCUUACGUUAAAUGAUUUCUCAGGUGGUCUUACGCAAGGAUUUUGAUCUUCAGAAUCAACAGCAUGCAUUACGUCUUUUGACGCUACAUUCUAUGAAGUUGCAAAAAAAGCGCAAUGCUACAGGGAAACCGUAAGCCGAUACAUUUAUUCAUUCUUUUUUUCAGUCACUGCUCUAAGGUUAACUUAAGAAUCAACCAAACUAAUGAGGCAACCGAGACAGCAUGAAAUCAGUAGCGUGGGCUACCUGGCGACAACAAUGCGGGAUGUAUGCCACCAAAUUCCAAAAUUUCCCAAGUUUGACGACCUCGUUCCUACCUUUGGUCCUGCACACACCUCGGGCUGGUUGGAGUCAACGUUCAGUGAUGAUGGUCGGACUCGCUGCCUGAAAAGGGUGGAGGGGACGUGUCCCAGCAAGCCCCGGCCUCAGCUCUGCCUUUGGGAUGCACUCAGGUAUGUCGCCCUGGGAUACGAAGACUGCUGCGAGUCACAUUCCUGACCUCCAGUGCUCGAUUCUAUCAGCCUCGGGGGAAGGAUCUGGUUCCACGGAGGAGUCAUGGAGGUCCUCAGGAUCUAUUAUAUGACUUAUGACUGCCCGCAGAUGAUUUUCUUUUCAUCCUCAUCUCUCUCUCUUUCUCUCUCUUCUCUCUCUCUCAUUCUGCUCUUAACAAUUAAGAAUCUCUCUAUGGGGGAAAUCACAGAGAGUCAGACAUGUCUGAACUGCUGCAGCCACAUCAGAUGUCUGUGUAAAAGCUUCUAAUCGAGUGCGUAAAUAAAAGCUCCAAAGCCAAAGUGAACUAGGUAAGGGGAAUUUCAUGUCAUAAAUGCAGAUGUAAACAGAAAAUCUGUCCCAGUUGUGUCAGCAUCUGUAAUUUGGUUCUUUAUUGGAACAAGAGGACAAAAACAACCGACUCACUUAACCACGUGCACAUUGGUCUGCCAAAUACAGCUUUUUACGGGUUAUUGACAGUCCUGUCAUGCCACAUCUAAUGCAACUCUGCUGCCAUGUCUACUGACAGAUGCAAGUGGAGGACCUUUGAAACAACUCCAGCUGUGGCACAGAUGGAGUGAUCAAAGGGACAGCUGUUGACACACCGCAUUCUUGAUUAGACCCUCUAUCAUGUCCCCAUACAGGCGUCUGUGGUGACACUGUCGGGGGGCUGCAAAAGGUGCCAAAACCUGAGCAGGGAUGAGUGUGAAGGGGCUUUAUAUGACUCUAUUAUCACCAUCACGUCCAUGCAUUUUGAUCCUUCUGGUUUGAAACAACUUGAAGCAAAAAACACUGGCAACAUAGAAGACUUUUACACCAAGAACACUGACUACAUAGGUAUUGUUUAGUAUCAUAAUGUAAGCAGCUUUGUGAAGUUUGGCUCUUCAGCUCACUGUUAUUUAUGGAGUUGUGUUUUCUAUUUCAAUGAACCACAGUCGUCACAGGCCCUAAAUUAAAGUUCACGUCUACUUUGUAUUUGCUUUUAAUUUAUUGCCUGUGUUGUCUGAAUUAUAAUGCAUUGACAGGACCCUCCUCUGAGCUCGGAUGCUUCCACUAACAACCCUGCACAUUUCUCCACCAGCAUGAUGCUAUCUCUCCCCCCAUCCACCCAAUCACUGGGCCAGACCAGCCUGUCACAUGUGACAAUGACCUUAUUGUUGCCACGGCGCCCUGUUCAACAUGGGAUCCCCUUCUGCAUGCCACACAUUUAUGAGGGGGGGGACCCUGCCCCCUUUCCUCCCAAAGACACACACACUUUUUCUCAGCCAACUCAGGACCUUUUUACGAAGACAAACCCCUUUCUGUUCACUGUCUGUGGCCUGGGAGGCCACUCUCGCCCACUAAAGCCAGUAUAAAACCUUCUGUUCGUAACAAAGAGUGGUUAUGAGUUUUUUUUUUUAACUUUUUCUUUUCCUGCAAAAAGUAAAUACAAGUCCCCUGCGUUGAAUUUUUGUCCAGUGGUUAAGUUUUCCAUAAUGGGUGCUGUUUUUUGUGCUUGCACCUGCAAUUGUUCUGUGUGAGGUUUUUUUUUCCACAACCAAUUGGUUAAAUAUACAAAUCUCCAGUCCAAUAUAAACAAGAAAGAGGAUGUGGACUGUUUUUACAGCUGGGUGUAAAUUCAGCAUUAUACUGCAUUAAUAUAAAAUUUACAUUAGGGUCGGCCAUGAUGACUGGAAUACCAUAUGCAUGUAUUUUAUGGCGACGUUUGAAAGGAGGAAGAAAUAAAAGCAAAUGUUGCACAUGGAGAGCAGAUUACCACUGGAGACGCAUCUCCUCAUAUGCAAACUCUGUUCCUGAAGUAUUAAGCGUUCAUGUUACAUUUGAAAGAGACACUAUUGGGAUUGCUUGAGACUUUUACCUCUGUGUUCUCCUAUACUACAUAAGAUCAUAUAUAUGUCAGCACAUCUCUGAAGAGAUUCAAAGACACAGACCAACAACACUCAUUUUAAUGGAGAUUGGAGCCUAUUCGAUAAUGCCAAUCAUCACACCUUGCUCAGGGUUUAAGUUAUAACAUUCUGUUGUUGCAUAUGCUGUACCUUUAUCUCUGCUAAACCCUUUAAUAUAAUUCCCUGUAAUGCAUACCUUUUUAUUCAUCACAUUUCUUUUACUGCCACCACAUUUUUGUCAGCAGGUCAGGAAAAGCUGAUUUCAUAAAGCAGUGAUCAAAUAAAGCAACAUAUUUAGUCUGUUUCCACAUAAUUGAGUUGCAAAUACAUCUACUCAAACUCCUAAAUCCCCUUAUAUCUGACAAUACAGAAGAUGAAGCAUAAUGCCAUAAUCACUAAAACAACUUUCUUGCACCUGCUGUAGAUUAAUCUAGUGUUGUCUAUAAACAACAGCUAUGUAAAACUCCAAACUUUAGAUUCCAUUCUGGCUUUUUUUUCCCGAUGUCCACAAAAGAAGACUAUCCUUUCUCAUCAUCUGAUGAAGAGAUAAGUCACCUAUCCUGGCCGACUGCACAUCAGUACACGUGACGUGCCCAACAGACACAACACAGCUUCAGUCUUGCAAGGGCUUGCAGGUAGAGCUUGGUCCGGACUGUAUUGGCAUGCAGCGUUUCCAAUAAUAUAAACAAUGCUGUCUUUGUUUCUCCAAUGAAAGCACACACGCUUAUUAAAUAAGGGAUAAUGUGCCUUAAGCCGAUGUAUUCACUAAAAGGACAAAAAACAAAGAAAAGAAAUUCGGAUGUGACCCACUUAUAUUUGUGGUUCGGUCUAUUGAACACGUUGACGUAAACCAUAACUUUGUAUUGUGUGACAUAUCGUUGUAAAAAAUAUUAGCAUAUCCACAAGCUUCAGUUUCAUAAAGUGAUUAUUUCUUACCAUUACUGAUAAGAUGUCUGUCAUGUUCACAUACAACGUCAGAAUCUCUCCCCCAGGUGUUCAGUGUAGUUU